rnacentral:rRNA from 1 species
CCCGCACAAGCGGUGGAGCAUGUGGUUUAAUUCGACGCUACGCGAAGAACCUUACCUGGGCUUGAACUGCUGGUGGUAGAAGCCCGAAAGGGUAACGACCCGGAGCAAUCCGGGAGCCAGUAGAGGUGCUGCAUGGCUGUCGUCAGCUCGUGUCGUGAGAUGUUGGGUUAAGUCCCGCAACGAGCGCAACCCUUACCCUUAGUUGCCAGCGGGUAAUGCCGGGCACUCUAAGGGGACCGCCCCGGAUAACGGGGAGGAAGGCGGGAUGACGUCAAGUCAGCAUGGCCUUUAUGUCCAGGGCUACACACGUGCUACAAUGGGCGAUACAGAGGGAAGCAAGGCCGCAAGGUAGAGCUAAUCCCUAAAGUCGUCCUCAGUUCGGAUUGCAGGCUGCAACUCGCCUGCAUGAAGUUGGAGUUGCUAGUAAACGCAGGUCAGCCAUACUGCGUUGAAUACGUUCCCGGGGCUU